rnacentral:rRNA from 1 species
GAUGAACGCUGGCGGCGUGCCUAAUACAUGCAAGUCGAGCGAACGGACGAGAAGCUUGCUUCUCUGAUGUUAGCGGCGGACGGGUGAGUAACACGUGGAGAACCUACCUAUAAGACUGGGAUAACUUCGGGAAACCGUAGCUAAUACCGGAUAAUAUUUUGAACCGCAUGGUUCAAAAGUGAAAGACGGUCUUGCUGUCACUUAUAGAUGGAUCCGCGCUGCAUUAGCUAGUUGGUAAGGUAACGGCUUACCAAGGCAACGAUGCAAAGCCGACCUGAGAGGGUGAUCGGCCACACUGGAACUGAGACACGGUCCAGACUCCUACGGGAGGCAGCAGUAGGGAAUCUUCCGCAAUGGGCGAAAGCCUGACGGAGCAACGCCGCGUGAGUGAUGAAGGUCUUCGGAUCGUAAAACUCUGUUAUUAGGGAAGAACAUAUGUGUAAGUAACUGUGCACAUCUUGACGGUACCUAAUCAGAAAGCCACGGCUAACUACGUG